rnacentral:rRNA from 1 species
UACGGGGGGGGCAAGCGUUGUUCGGAAUUACUGGGCGUAAAGGGCUCGUAGGCGGCCAACUAAGUCAGACGUGAAAUCCCUCGGCUUAACCGGGGAACUGCGUCUGAUACUGGAUGGCUUGAGUUUGGGAGAGGGAUGCGGAAUUCCAGGCGUAGCGGUGAAAUGCGUAGAUAUCUGGAGGAACACCGGUGGCGAAGGCGGCAUCCUGGACCAACACUGACGCUGAUGAGCGAAAGCCAGGGGAGCAAACGGG